AGCAGCCGCGGUAAUUCCAGCUCCAAUAGCGUAUAUUAAAGUUGUUGCAGUUAAAAAGCUCGUAGUUGAAUUUCGGGGUUAGUAGGUUGGUCGUGCCACUGGUACGUACUGGUCUCACUGAUUCCUCCUUCCUGAUGAGCUGUAAUGCCAUUAAUUUGGUGUUGCAGGGAAACUGGACUGUUACUUUGAAAAAAUUAGAGUGUUUAAAGCAAGCUAACGCUUGAAUACAUUAGCAUGGAAUAAUGAAAUAGGACGUUCGAUCCUAUUUUGUUGGUUUCUAGGAUUGACGUAAUGAUUAAUAGGGAUAGUUGGGGGCAUUAGUAUUCAAUUGUCAGAGGUGAAAUUCUUGGAUUUAUUGAAGACUAACUACUGCGAAAGCAUUUGCCAAGGAUGUUUUCAUUAAUCAAGAACGAAAGUUAGGGGAUCGAAGACGAUCAGAUACCGUCGUAGUCUUAACCAUAAACUAUGCCGACUAGGGAUCGGGUGAUGUUAAUUUUUUAAUGACUCAUUCGGCGCCUUA
rnacentral:rRNA from 1 species